rnacentral:rRNA from 1 species
GACGAACGCUGGCGGCGUGCUUAACACAUGCAAGUCGAACGGAAAGGCCCUGCUUUUGUGGGGUGCUCGAGUGGCGAACGGGUGAGUAACACGUGAGUAACCUGCCCUUGACUUUGGGAUAACUUCAGGAAACUGGGGCUAAUACCGGAUAGGAGCUCCUGCUGCAUGGUGGGGGUUGGAAAGUUUCGGCGGUUGGGGAUGGACUCGCGGCUUAUCAGCUUGUUGGUGGGGUAGUGGCUUACCAAGGCUUUGACGGGUAGCCGGCCUGAGAGGGUGACCGGCCACAUUGAGACAGGGAUACGGCCGCGACGCCUACGGGGGGCAGCAGGGGGAAAUAGUGCACAGCGGGCAGAAGCCGGAUGCAGACACGCCGGGGGGGGGAUGACAGUCUGCGGUUUGUAACCCGCUUUGGCCGGGGACGAAGCGUGAGUGACGGUAAUGGGUAAAGAAGGACCGGCAAACAACGUGCAAGCAGCCGCGGUAAUAAGCGGAAGAGCACACGCCCGACC